rfam:Halocynthiibacter arcticus strain PAMC 20958, complete genome.
UUUCCCCCACAACGGCUUCCUGAAGUGGCGGGCAACUUUAACUGGAGCA